rnacentral:rRNA from 1 species
CACGUAGGGCGCAAGCGUUGUCCGGAAUUAUUGGGCGUAAAGAGCUCGUAGGCGGUCUGUUGCGUCCGCUGUGAAAACUCGGGGCUUAACCCCGAGCCUGCAGUGGAUACGGGCAGACUAGAGGUAGGUAGGGGAGAAUGGAAUUCAUGGUGUAGCAGUGAAAUGCGUAGAGAUCAUGAGGAAGACCAGUGGCGAAGGCGGGUCUCUGGACAGUUCCUGACACUGAGGCACGAAGGCCAGGGGAGCAAACGGG